rnacentral:rRNA from 1 species
CCCAGACUCCUACGGGAGGCAGCAGUGGGGAAUAUUGCACAAUGGGGGGAACCCUGAUGCAGCGACGCCGCGUGGGUGAAGGAGUACUUCGGUACGUAAAGCCCUAUCAGCAGGAAAGAAAAUGACGGUACCUGACUAAGAAGCCCCGGCUAACUACGUGCCAGCAGCCGCGGUAAUACGUAGGGGGCAAGCGUUAUCCGGAUUUACUGGGUGUAAAGGGAGCGUAGACGGCAGUGCAAGUCCGGAGUGAAAGCCCGGGGCUCAACCCUGGGACUGCUCUGGAAACUGCAAAGCUGGAGUGCGGGAGGGGCAGGCGGAAUUCCUGGUGUAGCGGUGAAAUGCGUAGAUAUCAGGAGGAACACCGGCGGCGAAGGCGGCCUGCUGGACCGUAACUGACGUUGAGGCUCGAAAGCGUGGGGAGCAAACAGGAUUAGAUACCCGAGUAUA